GCCUUCGUGAUGUAGUGGUCAGCACACUCGACGCGUAUUCGAGAGGUCCAUGGUUCGAAUCCCGGCCAGGGCA
rnacentral:tRNA from 1 species